rnacentral:rRNA from 1 species
UACGUAGGGACCAAGCGUUGUUCGGAUUUACUGGGCGUAAAGGGCGCGUAGGCGGCAAUUCAAGUCAUCUGUGAAAUCUCCGGGCUUAACCCGGAAAGGUCAGCCGAUACUGCGGGGCUAGAGUGCAGAAGGGGCAACUGGAAUUCUCGGUGUAGCGGUGAAAUGCGUAGAUAUCGAGAGGAACACCUGCGGCGAAGGCGGGUUGCUGGGCUGACACUGACGCUGAGGCGCGAAAGCUAGGGGAGCGAACGGG